rnacentral:tRNA from 1 species
GUAGCGAAAUCGGUAGAUGCAGCGGAUUCAAAAUUCGCCGGGGGAAACUACGUGUCGGUUCGAGUCCGGCCCUGGGUACCA